GCGCGCAGGCGCGAAUCUUCCACAAUGGACGAAAGUCUGAUGGAGCGACGCCGCGUGCGGGAUGAAGGCCUUAUGGGUUGUAAACCGCUGUCAGGGGGGAAGAACAUCGGAAUGAACAAUACUCAUUCCGACUGACGUUACCCCCAGAGGAAGCUCCGGCCAACUCCGUGCCAGCAGCCGCGGUAAUACGGGGGGGCGAAGCGUUGUCCGGAAUUAUUGGGCGUAAAGGGCGUGUAGGCGGCGAGGUAAGUCGAAUGU
rnacentral:rRNA from 1 species